UACAGAGGGUGCAAGCGUUGCUCGGAAUCAUUGGGCGUAAAGGGUAGGUAGGUGGUCUCAUUUGUCCGGGGUGAAAUCCUUGAGCUUAACUCAAGAAGUGCCCUGGAAACGGUGAGACUGGAGUCCUGGAGAGGGUCGUGGAAUUCCCGGUGUAGCGGUGAAAUGCGUAGAGAUCGGGAGGAACACCAGAGGCGAAGGCGGCGACCUGGACAGGUACUGACACUGAACUACGAAAGCGUGGGGAGCAAACAGG
rnacentral:rRNA from 1 species